rnacentral:tRNA from 1 species
AAAGAGUUAGUUAAAAUAUAACAUAAAUAUGUCAUGUUUAAAUUACUAAAAUAUUAGUACUCUUUG